GAUUCUUUCGGGAAGAAGAGUGAUUUGACUGAGCGGCGGACGGGUGAGUAACGCGUGGGUAACCUGCCUCAUACAGGGGGAUAACAGUUAGAAAUGACUGCUAAUACCGCAUAAGCGCACAGGAUUGCAUGAUCCAGUGUGAAAAACUCCGGUGGUAUGAGAUGGACCCGCGUCUGAUUAGGUAGUUGGCGGGGUAACGGCCCACCAAGCCGACGAUCAGUAGCCGACCUGAGAGGGUGACCGGCCACAUUGGGACUGAGACACGGCCCAAACUCCUACGGGAGGCAGCAGUGGGGAAUAUUGCACAAUGGGGGAAACCCUGAUGCAGCGACGCCGCGUGAGCGAAGAAGUAUUUCGGUAUGUAAAGCUCUAUCAGCAGGGAAGAAACUGACGGUACCUGACUAAGAAGCACCGGCUAAAUACGUGCCAGCAGCCGCGGUAAUACGUAUGGUGCAAGCGUUAUCCGGAUUUACUGGGUGUAAAGGGAGCGUAGACGGAUGUGCAAGUCUGGAGUGAAAACCCGGGGCUCAACCCCGGGACUGCUUUGGAAACUGUGUAUCUAGAGUGCUGGAGAGGCAAGUGGAAUUCCUAGUGUAGCGGUGAAAUGCGUAGAUAUUAGGAGGAACACCAGUGGCGAAGGCGGCUUGCUGGAC
rnacentral:rRNA from 1 species